GAUGAACGCUGGCGGCGUGCCUAACACAUGCAAGUCGAACGGAGUCCAGCCUUUAAGACCUUCGGGUCAAAGAGGGGAAGACUGAGUGGCGGACGGGUGAGUAACACGUGGGCAACCUGGCUCAUAGAGGGGGAUAACAGAGAGAAAUUUCUGCUAAUACCGCAUAAGCACACACUGCCGCAUGGCAGAGGGUGAAAAGAGAAUCGCUAUGAGAUGGACCCGCGUCUGAUUAGCCAGUUGGCAGGGUAAGAGCCUACCAAAGCGACGAUCAGUAGCCGAUCUGAGAGGAUGAACGGCCACAUUGGGACUGAGACACGGCCCAAACUCCUACGGGAGGCAGCAGUGGGGGAUAUUGCACAAUGGGGGGAACCCUGAUGCAGCGACGCCGCGUGAGUGAAGAAGUAUUUCGGUAUGUAAAGCUCUAUCAGCAGGGAAGAUAAUGACAGUACCUGAAGAAGAGGCCCCGGCUAACUACGUG
rnacentral:rRNA from 1 species